UGGCUCACCAAGGCGACGACGGGUAGCCGGCCUGAGAGGGUGACCGGCCACACUGGGACUGAGACACGGCCCAGACUCCUACGGGAGGCAGCAGUGGGGAAUAUUGCACAAUGGGCGAAAGCCUGAUGCAGCGACGCCGCGUGAGGGAUGACGGCCUUCGGGUUGUAAACCUCUUUCAGUAGGGAAGAAGCGAAAGUGACGGUACCUGCAGAAGAAGCGCCGGCUAACUACGUGCCAGCAGCCGCGGUAAUACGUAGGGCGCAAGCGUUAUCCGGAAUUAUUGGGCGUAAAGAGCUCGUAGGCGGUUUGUCGCGUCUGCCGUGAAAGUCCGGGGCUCAACUCCGGAUCUGCGGUGGGUACGGGCAGACUAGAGUGAUGUAGGGGAGACUGGAAUUCCUGGUGUAGCGGUGAAAUGCGCAGAUAUCAGGAGGAACACCGAUGGCGAAGGCAGGUCUCUGGGCAUUAACUGACGCUGAGGAGCGAAAGCAUGGGGAGCGAACAGGAUUAGAUACCCUGGUAGUCCAUGCCGUAAACGUUGGGCACUAGGUGUGGGGGACAUUCCACGUUUUCCGCGCCGUAGCUAACGCAUUAAGUGCCCCGCCUGGGGAGUACGGCCGCAAGGCUAAAACUCAAAGGAAUUGACGGGGGCCCGCACAAGCGGCGGAGCAUGCGGAUUAAUUCGAUGCAACGCGAAGAACCUUACCAAGGCUUGACAUGAACCGGAAAUACCUGGAAACAGGUGCCCCGCUUGCGGUCGGUUUACAGGUGGUGCAUGGUUGUCGUCAGCUCGUGUCGUGAGAUGUUGGGUUAAGUCCCGCAACGAGCGCAACCCUCGUUCUAUGUUGCCAGCGCGUGAUGGCGGGGACUCAUAGGAGACUGCCGGGGUCAACUCGGAGGAAGGUGGGGACGACGUCAAAUCAUCAUGCCCCUUAUGUCUUGGGCUUCACGCAUGCUACAAUGGCCGGUACAAAGGGUUGCGAUACUGUGAGGUGGAGCUAAUCCCAAAAAGCCGGUCUCAGUUCGGAUUGGGGUCUGCAACUCGACCCCAU
rnacentral:rRNA from 1 species